GUGCAUUUAGCUCAGCUGGAUAGAGCGUCUGGCUACGGACCAGAAGGUCGGGGGUUCGAAUCCUCUAAUGCACG
rnacentral:tRNA from 1 species